GCAUAUCAAUAAGCGGAGGAAAAGAAACCAACAGGGAUUGCCCUAGUAACGGCGAGUGAAGCGGCAACAGCUCAAAUUUGAAAUCUGGCGUCUUUGGCGUCCGAGUUGUAAUUUGCAGAGGGCGCUUUGGCAUUGGCAGCGGUCCAAGUUCCUUGGAACAGGACGUCACAGAGGGUGAGAAUCCCGUACGUGGUCGCUAGCCUUUACCGUGUAAAGCCCCUUCGACGAGUCGAGUUGUUUGGGAAUGCAGCUCUAAAUGGGAGGUAAAUUUCUUCUAAAGCUAAAUACUGGCCAGAGACCGAUAGCGCACAAGUAGAGUGAUCGAAAGAUGAAAAGCACUUUGGAAAGAGAGUUAAAAAGCACGUGAAAUUGUUGAAAGGGAAGCGCUUGCAGCCAGACUUGCCUGUAGUUGCUCAUCCGGGUUUUUACCCGGUGCACUCUUCUAUAGGCAGGCCAGCAUCAGUUUGGGCGGUUGGAUAAAGGUCUCUGUCAUGUACCUCUCUUCGGGGAGAACUUAUAGGGGAGACGACAUGCAACCAGCCUGGACUGAGGUCCGCGCAUCUGCUAGGAUGCUGGCGUAAUGGCUGUAAGCGGCCCGUCUUGAAACACGGACCAAGGAGUCUAACAUCUAUGCGAGUGUUUGGGUGUCAAGCCCGAACGCGUAAUGAAAGUGAACGGAGGUGGGAACCUUUCGGGGUGCACCAUCGACCGAUCCUGAUGUCUUCGGAUGGAUUUGAGUAAGAGCAUAGCUGUUGGGACCCGAAAGAUGGUGAACUAUGCUUGAAUAGGGUGAAGCCAGAGGAAACUCUGGUGGAGGCUCGCAGCGGUUCUGACGUGCAAAUCGAUCGUCAAAUUUGGGCAUAGGGGCGAAAGACUAAUCGAACUAUCUAGUAGCUGGUUCCUGCG
rnacentral:rRNA from 1 species